rnacentral:lncRNA from 1 species
GUCUGAUUAGUGACUUUUUACAAUGCUGUUUCUCUGUCUACCGAAUAAACUAGAGAUAAACGCUCACAAACUAUAAACUGGGUUGUUCGAGCCCUGAAUGCUGAUUGGCUGACAGCCAUGGAAUAUCAGACCAUUUGACAAAACAUUUGUUUUUACUGCUCUAAUUACAUUGCUAACCAUUUUAUUAUAGCAAUAAUGCACCUCGGGGUUUGUGAUAUAUGGCCAAUAUGCCUGGACACAGCCCUUAGCCAUGGUAUACUGGCCAUAUACCACACCCCCUCCACCUUGUCUUUGCGGGCUUUCAUUACCAAACAGGUGAGACAAUCUACCAGCAGAUUAAAAACAAGCUGCAUUGUAAUUAGGCAACCAUUCAAUGACUGUCUAAAAACAUGGAUGAGGAGCUUGCCAGUGCUGGUAAGAAAACAGAUUUAUUUGGCAAAGCAAUUUCAAUCUCUGCAUAGGAUGCGUCCAUGAGUUUUCAGUGCCCAUCUCCCUCAGAGCUUGACAGAGGCUUCUUGGACCAGAGUUUGUCUGUGUCUGCUCUGUCACUGACAGGACAGUCCACAUCGGUGCUACCUCCAAAUAGAAUUGUUGUUGAGUACUAUGGUUCCAAACAAUCCCUCCUGGCCUCCCUGUGUCAGUCUCCCAAACCUGUGUCCCCCUCUCAAGCCAUGAACCUGAACUCUAAGGAGGCUACACAAACACCAGGCCUCACUAUACCUGUAGAGAGCAAGUCCUCUACUCCUGCUGAUCGGGUCCUCCUCCAGAAACCCAAACUAGCCUGCCCAUUGGAUCUAUCCUACAUUGAUCUGACUGCCUCGCAGGUUGCCUGGGAGGUCUCCCUAAUCAAACCUGAGACUAACAGUCCAAAACCGAUCCUUGAGUCAAGCACGUUGGAGACUACCUUGAGUCCCAAGUUCCAGUCUGCACCACCAUCCCUGGCUGAGAUCUCCCUGAUCUGGUCAGGCUCACCCCCACAUGGAAUUAACGCAGAGGACAACCAGAGGUCCUGGAAGGAGGUCACUAUGGGUUCUAGUCUCAGUUCCAGCCUGAGCCAGACCUCAGGUUCAGCAGCUGAGGAUGAAUGGCAGAGACGCACAGCCAUCCCUACAGGUUUUGACAAGCAAAAGUGGGGAUGUGACAGUGCUGUACUGAAAAGUUGAGACCUUAAGGAGGAUAUUCAAGAUGCCUGUGAAUUUUAUUUUACAUUAACCUAUUAUAGUAAAUAAAGUUUUGUAUUGAUUUAAAUCGACAAUGCCUCUUGAGUAUUUAGGGAAUGACGCAAAUGCCAACAUUUAUGAUACUAUAGCACAAACGAGUACUAAAUCAAAUGUAUAUUGUAUGAG